rnacentral:rRNA from 1 species
AUUGAACGCUGGCGGCAGGCCUAACACAUGCAAGUCGAACGAGUGGCGGACGGGUGAGUUAUGUCUGGGAAACUGCCUGAUGGAGGGGGAUAACUACUGGAAACGGUAGCUAAUACCGCAUACCAUCAGAUGUGCCCAGAUGGGAUUAGCGUGUGGGUGGGGUAACGGCUCACCAAGGCGCAGAUCCCUAGCUGGUCUGAGAGGCGGACAAGCCAAACUGGAACUGAGACACGGUCCAGAAUCCUACGGGAGGCAGCAGUGGGGAAUAUUGCACAAUGGGCGCAAGCCUGAUGCAGCCAUGCCGCGUGUAUGAAGAAGGCCUUCGGGUUGUAAAGUACUUUCAGCUGGGAGGCGUUACCCGCAGAAGAAGCACCGGCUAACUCCGUGCCAUCAGCCGCGGUAAUUC